ensembl:lncRNA
CCGGAAUUUAAAAUGCUCCUUUUUUUUUUAAUUUUACCUCCUGUUUUUGUUUCUUUCGGCUCUUUAUGAUCGUCUGGGGUCGAUUAGUCCUCCUUCCUUUGUUACCUUCACUUUUCCCUGACCAAAACAGAGAACAUCACAUUACAGCAGUCUGUAAUUUGUUUCUGUGUUUGUUUCUAAUGCACCAGUUAAUAAUAAUCCUUCUUUAUCUGAUACUGGGCCUCGGAUCACCUCCAUUCUCUUUGAUUGGGCAGGUUCUGGAAGCCUGCUGAGGAGCACCCAAUGUUUAUGAGCUGGAUGUGCUGAAGCAGAGGAAACCUGUGAGGAGUCAACAUCAGCCAAGCUGUGUGCUCAAUGAUUCAUCUUAGACGUGCAUUCUGGGUAAAUUUUGAAGGCUCACAUUGUUGAAUUAAUGGCUGCUCAGAACAGUACAGAGAAUAUUAAAGGUCUUCUUUAAGCUGCGCUUAAAUUCUAGGACCAUCUUCUUUCGGGGUCAGCUGGUUGUGGAAGACUAACUUUCAGCCUCAGAGAUGGAAGACGAGCGUGGCUCCAUCUGCAUGAGCUUCGUCUCAGCAGUGCUGUGAAAAAGGUGGAGAGAAAACCUCAUGGCUGCGUGCAGAGACACGAGGGAUCGGGGGUAAAACGGUAGAGUUGGGCAGCAGAUGGCUCAUCUCCAAGCUUCCAGCAUCCCGCCCGGCCUGCCAAAUAGGAACAGGUGCUGGAGAAAGAAGGAAGUGAGCUGUGGGCCUGGUGGGCAGCGGGAGACCCCUGACCAGCUGGCGAGGAGAAAAUGGAAAAAGCUGGCAGCAGAAAAAAGAGAAAACCUGUUUAAUGCGGAAGGCGCCAGCAUGCAGGCCCACAGAGGUUCUUUAAGCCUUUUAAAUAAAACACACAGAGCUGACACUUCACACCGACCGAGAGCAGAUUUUAAAUCCUGCUUCUAUUUACCAACAUCUCAUCGGCUC